rnacentral:rRNA from 1 species
CUACGGGCGGCACCAGUGGGGAAUAUUGCACAAUGGGCGCAAGCCUGAUGCAGCCAUGCCGCGUGUAUGAAGAAGGCCUUCGGGUUGUAAAGUACUUUCAGCGGGGAGGAAGGGAGUAAAGUUAAUACCUUUGCUCAUUGACGUUACCCGCAGAAGAAGCACCGGCUAACUCCGUGCCAGCAGCCGCGGUAAUACGGAGGGUGCAAGCGUUAAUCGGAAUUACUGGGCGUAAAGCGCACGCAGGCGGUUUGUUAAGUCAGAUGUGAAAUCUCCGGGCUCAACCUGGGAACUGCAUCUGAUACUGGCAAGCUUGAGUCUCGUAGAGGGGGGUAGAAUUCCAGGUGUAGCGGUGAAAUGCGUAGAGAUCUGGAGGAAUACCGGUGGCGAAGGCGGCCCCCUGGACGAAGACUGACGCUCAGGUGCGAAAGCGUGGGGAGCAAACAGGAUUAGAUACCCUCGUAGUC